rfam:Helianthus annuus linkage group 16, whole genome shotgun sequence.
AUUGGCAGAUGAUGAAGUAAUAUGAGUUUUAUGCUUAACACUCUGAUUAUACUGUGGUGACUACGAACUCCGCUUAUUAUCUGAUGCCAGA